rnacentral:tRNA from 1 species
AAGAGAUUAUAAUAAAAAUAGCUGCUAACUAAUUUUUAAAGCGAAUUAAGCCCGUUUGUCUCUUA